AGUGAUUGUGUUUCGACUGUUGC
rnacentral:siRNA from 1 species